UCCCUCUUAGCUCAGUGGUAGAGCGCGUCACUAGUACCUCUCACUAUGACGAGGUCAGUCGUUCAAGUCGGCUAGAGGGAA